UGGGGAAUAUUGGACAAUGGGGGAAACCCUGAUCCAGCCAUGCCGCGUGUGUGAAGAAGGCCUUCGGGUUGUAAAGCACUUUCAGUGGGGAGGAAGGCUUGAUGGUUAAUACCCAUCAGGAUUGACGUUACCCACAGAAGAAGCACCGGCUAACUCCGUGCCAGCAGCCGCGGUAAUACGGAGGGUGCGAGCGUUAAUCGGAAUUACUGGGCGUAAAGCGCGCGUAGGCGGUUUGUUAAGCCAGAUGUGAAAGCCCCGGGCUCAACCUGGGAACUGCAUUUGGUACUGGCAGGCUAGAGUACGGUAGAGGGUGGUGGAAUUUCCAGUGUAGCGGUGAAAUGCGUAGAGAUUGGAAGGAACAUCAGUGGCGAAGGCGGCCACCUGGACUGAUACUGACGCUGAGGUGCGAAAGCGUGGGGAGCAAACAGG
rnacentral:rRNA from 1 species